AACGAACGCUGGCGGCAGGCUUAACACAUGCAAGUCGAGCGAGACCUUCGGGUCUAGCGGCGGACGGGUGAGUAACGCGUGGGAACGUGCCCUUCUCUACGGAAUAGCCCCGGGAAACUGGGAGUAAUACCGUAUACGCCCUUUGGGGGAAAGAUUUAUCGGAGAAGGAUCGGCCCGCGUUGGAUUAGGUAGUUGGUGGGGUAAUGGCCCACCAAGCCGACGAUCCAUAGCUGGUGUGAGAGGAUGAUCAGCCACACUGGGACUGAGACACGGCCCAGACUCCUACGGGAGGCAGCAGUGGGGAAUCUUAGACAAUGGGGGCAACCCUGAUCUAGCCAUGCCGCGUGAGUGAUGAAGGCCUUAGGGUUGUAAAGCUCUUUCAGCUGGGAAGAUAAUGACGGUACCAGCAGAAGAAGCCCCGGCUAACUCCGUG
rnacentral:rRNA from 1 species